rnacentral:rRNA from 1 species
CAAAUUUGAAAGCUGUUGCCUUUGGUAACCGCAUUGUAAUCUCGAGAUCUGUUUUCCGCGCUGGACCAUGUACAAGUCCCUUGGAAUAGGGCGUCAUAGAGGGUGAGAAUCCCGUACUUGACAUGGACUCCCAGUGCUUUGUGAUACAGGCUCAACGAGUCGAGUUGUUUGGGAAUGCAGCUCAAAAUGGGUGGUAAAUUCCAUCUAAAGCUAAAUAUUGGGGAGAGACCGAUAGCGAACAAGUACCGUGAGGGAAAGAUGAAAAGCACUUUGGAAAGAGAGUUAAACAGUACGUGAAAUUGUCAAAAGGGAACCGUUUGAAGUUAGUCAUGCUUGCCUGGACUCAGCCUUGCUUUUGCUUGGUGCAUUUCCAGGUACGCAGGUCAGCAUCGGUUUUGACUGCUGGAUAAGGGUGAGAGGAAUGUGGCACCCUCGGGUGUGUUAUAGCCUUUCACUGGAUGCAGC